rnacentral:sRNA from 1 species
CUCAGCCCUGGAGACAGAAGUCCCCUGUCAAGAGAAGGGUUACUGCAAUGCAAAGUGGCAAAUUACAUUUCCUACAAUGACUUGCUGGUGUGCCAGAGCCCUGACCUUAAAGGACUGACUUCUUUUAAGCUCAAGAACGUAAUUUAGUUUCCACACCUCAUUCCCAGCCUUGU